UCAAAGUGACAGCCUGAGGUGUUCUUCAGUAAAUUGGACUACCGGACAGGAGGACCUGAGGCCCCACCGCAUUAUUUUUGGAUGCAGCAGCAGACUGAACCUCGACUGAAACCUGCUCCAUCAUCUCAUCUUUGCAGAUGUCCAUUUAUAAAGCAUCAACAACUCAAAGGAGCCGUCCUCAGAUUCAGACCUCAGCACCACCCAGUGACAGCAGACAGAUCAUCCUAUAUCUUCAAUCUUUGUAGUAACUCCAAAAUUAACUGAAGAAAACAGUACAAAGGUUAAAGUACCACAUGUGCUGUCAGUGAAAGCUGCAGCUGUUUUAUUGAUAAAUUUAAA